rnacentral:lncRNA from 1 species
AUAUACAUAUAUUUCACAGCGAAAUCAUAACCCAUUCAUAUAUUUAUGACCCAUUGAUAUAUCACAAUCGGUCAAUUACUAUCUAUUGAUAUAUUUCCUCGGUAAAAUUGCACCCCAUUGAUAUAUUUGACGGAUCAAAAAAGGGACCCAUUCCAGCGGCACAUAUGUAUAUACCUUUAUAUAGGAAGAGACCCCCCCCCG